rnacentral:rRNA from 1 species
GAGGAAUAUUCCGCAAUGGGCGAAAGCCUGACGGAGCGAUGCUACGUGAAGGAUGAAGGUCUACGGAUUGUAAACUUCUUUACUUGGAUGUACUCCUUAAAGCUUGCAUCCGAGCAAAAAGUCACGACUAACUAUGUGCCAGCAGUCGCGGUAAGACAUAGGUGGCGAACGUUAUCCGGAAUUAUUGGGCGUAAAGGAUGCGUAGAUGGUAGAAUAAGUUACUGGUCGAUGCCAAACUCAAUUUGACGGAAGCUGGUAAUACUGUUCUGCUUGAGGGCAGGAGAGGUUGAUGGAAUUCUGUGUGGAGCGGUGAAAUGCGUUGAUCUACAGAGGAACACCAAAAAAGGCGAAGGCAGUCAACUAUUCUGUUCCUGACAUUGAGGCAUGAAAGCGUGGGGAGCAAA